GAAGAGAUGUGGGAAAAGAGA
rnacentral:misc_RNA from 3 species